UACGUAGGGUGCAAGCGUUAAUCGGAAUUACUGGGCGUAAAGCGUGCGCAGGCGGUUUUGUAAGUCUGUCGUGAAAGCCCGGGCUCAACCUGGGAAUUGCGAUGGAGACUGCAAGGCUUGAAUCUGGCAGAGGGGGUAGAAUUCCACGUGUAGCAGUGAAAUGCGUAGAGAUGUGGAGGAACACCGAUGGCGAAGGCAGCCCCUGGGUCAAGAUUGACGCUCAUGCACGAAAGCGUGGGAGCAAACAGG
rnacentral:rRNA from 1 species